rnacentral:tRNA from 1 species
AAAGAUUUAGUUAAACCAUAACAUUAGAAUGUCAAACUAAAAUUAUUAUAAUAAUAAUAUUCUUUA